CUGCACACCGGCCCCUUACUCCCUCCCUAAAACCCCUUACUCCCUCCCUAAAAAUGAAAAAUGAAUUAAAUAAAUGUGAAGGAGGAGUGACAAAGUGUGCACCCCUUAGUCCUUCAUGGUUAAAAUGGGAGAUAUCAAAUCUAUUUUGCUCGUGAUGGGGAUGAUGCUUGUAUGGUGGAGGUAUGUAUCUGCAUUCAGAUAUGCUUUUCUCCAAGAUUAUAGCAGCAUGUUUAUGCUUUUUUAUGUUUCAACUCUUUCACAUGUAAAUUUGUUGCAUAUGCAAAUCACCCUAUGUGGGUUAUUUGAGAAAUUUCUGCUGCCCAUUUUUGAAAUUAUCUAGUGUUGCUGCCUAAUUAAACUGUUUGAUUUGGAUCCUUACCGUCGUCCAUAUAUGGACUUGCAGAUUGAGUCUCAUUGUCCUUGACACUCAGCUUUGUACUUAGAUUUAAGAAUCCAUUGAGUACAACUAAUGUAAAGUGCUUCUGCUAGUCAACAUAUUCUGAACCUUGAUAGCAGACAAUUUUUUCUUAGAUUAGCUAAAUGCUUGCUGUGCUAAAUGCUUCAGCAACAUUACAAUUCAGCUGUUGCAAACCACAAGAAAAUUAUUGUCCAAUGGAGGACACUGGGAAUAAGAAGCAUUUUCCUUAUUCCGACAUAGAUUGCAAUUACUUCUAGAGAGGACAGGGGCCAGAGGACCAUUUAUGUUCCUUAUUAAGAAUGUAUUUCAGCACAGCGGUACUGCUUAUAUCAACUUACCUGUGGAAGGGAAGGUUUAGAGUAGUGAGUUUCGAAGUAAUUGAAUUUUGAGCGGGAAUUUCUUUUGGAAGUAAAAUUUAAGCUGUCUAAAAACCAGCAUCUACUUGGAUGAUCUAAGAAGAUGAACCCAACUUAGCUUGAUUUCUAGAUCUGCUUGGAACACACCCUUAUUUGCAGGUUCUCCUCCCCUUUCCUUGUUGUGUACUUCCUUUUUAAGCAGUAUAUCUGACUACUUGGUAGUUAUCUGCUUACAUAGCUGCUAGUCCAUUAGCACAAGGUGCUCUCAUAUUCUUGAACUUGGAAUAGUUAGUAUAAUGUUGUUAGGCUGCACAUUUCUAGGCAUUGCUCAAGCCAUCUAUCAUCAGUCCCUUUUAAAGGAGUUUUUUCUAGUUUCAUUUGAUCCCCCCACACUGAACUUUGUAGCUGAUAAUUAAGCGCAUAAUGGCAUUGUACAAGCAUUACAUUCCUUGAGCUGAGGGUCUAUCGGAAACAACCUAUCUACCUCCAAGAUAGGGUUAAGGUCUGCGUACACUUAUCCUCCCAGACCCACUUUGUGGUAUUACAUUGGGUAUGUCAAGCAUUACAUUCUUCAUUUUGAGGACUUAUCCUGUGGUCUAUUGCAAGUACCGAGAGUCAUUUUUCAAGAAAUUCAAUGUGCAAGCUUUAAGUGCUAGAUGAAAUAUAGAGGAUGCAAUUUUUCUUUUGUCUUUUACCAUGGUUGUCUUGUAAGCAUUAACCCUUAGAUGUUCUGUUGAGGACUUCAAAAUCCUGGUUUGUCGUUGCAACCAUUGUUGUCAAAGGUGAAAAUUGUAGAAAACACCAAGGUUUGCUAGGGUUUGGAGCAUACAGUGCAACUAAAGCGCACACUUCUGUAAGGAAAAACCCAUAACGAAGUAACAAUUAUGCUGCACUUACUAUACAGAACAAAGAAAAUAAUACACCAAAUAACAGUGUAAAUGGGUAGAUGAACAGAAACCUUCACAAUGAAGUAAAAUAUAUGGAUGGAAAACUAUGUUAAUCCCUACUUCAUCUGAAAACAACAACAACAACAACAAACCCAGUGUAUUCCCACCUAGUGGGGUCUGGGGGGUAAGAUGUACGCAGUCCAUACCACUACUUCAGGAGAAGUAGAAAGGCUGUUUUCGAUAGACCCCCGGCUCAAGGCAAGGAGUAAUAAACAAAUACUUAAUAAAGCAUGGAACAAGAUGUCAAGACAUAAAUACGACACCCACAAGGAAUAAUAAACAAAGAAGAGUAACCACAUUCGUAAUAAGGCAUGCAACAAAGUGUCCUAGUAAGAAUAAUACAUCUACCAAGUAAUGUCCUACCCCACGACUCAAACUGUCACUAGCCUUCUAUCCUAAUUCGCGUCCUCCAGAUCUUCCUAUCUAAAGUCAUGUCCUCAGUGAGCUGUAACUGCUCCAUGUUCCGCCUGAUCACCUCUCUCCAGUAUUUCUUUGGCCUACCCCUACCCCGUAUGAAACCAUCCAACGCAAGCUUCUCACACCUACGAACCGGGGCAUUCGUGCCUCUCCUCAUCACAUGCCCGGACCAUCUCAAUCGGACUUCCUGCAUCUUGUCCUCCACCGAAGCCACUCCAACCUUCUCCCGAAUAGUCUCAUUUCGAACUCUAUCACCCCUAUUAAGCCCACACAUCCAACGCAACAUCCGCAUUUCCACCACAUUUAAUUUUUGAAUGUGAGAGUUUUUGACUAGCCAGCAUUCCGCUCCAUACAACAUGGCUGGACGGACUGCCACCCUGUAGAAUUUGCCUUUAAGCUUGGGCGACACCUUCCUAUCACACAACACCCCCGAGGCGAGCUUCCACUUGAUCCAUCCCGCCCCAAUGCGGUGGGAGACAUCCUCGUCAAUCUCACCAUCUCCCUGAAUCAUGGACCCCAGAUACUUGAAACUAUCCCUCUUACACACCGUCUGGGAAUCCAACCUUACUACCACCUCGUCUUCCUGCCUUACGCCAUUAAACUUGUAUUCCAAAUAUUUUGUCUUGCUCCUGCUCAACCUGAACCCUUUAGACUCAAGGGUCUGUCUCCAUAGCUCUAAUUUAAUAUCCCCCGCGUCUUAUCAAUCAAAACUACAUCAUCUGAAAAAAAGCAUACACCAAGGCACCUCUCCUUGAAUACGCCGCGACAACACAUCUAUCACCAGAGCAAACAAAAACGGGCUAAGAGUGGAACCCUGGUGCAACCCCGUCAAAACAAGGAAAUGCUCCGAAUCUCCUCCCGCCGUCCUCACUUGAGUCGUGGCUCCAUUAUACAUGUCCUUGAUUGCUCUAAUAUACGCCAUCGGUACCCCACUCACCUCCAAGCAUCUCCAAAGCACCUCCCUAAGGACUUUAUCGUACGCCUUCUCCAAGUCGAUAAACACCAUGUGCAGAUCUCUCUUUCUUUCCCUGUACUGUUCCACCAGUCUCCCUAUACUCUACUUCAUCUGAAAAAAGAAACUAAAAACGAUAUUAAUCCUUUCUUCAUCAGAAAAAAGAAAAGAAAAACCAUGUUAAUCAAGUUCAGAAAACCAUCUUAGGUUCCAGACAUAGGUUUCACUUUGAAAUCCAUAUCUAGUUAUUGGUUUCUUAUACUACAUUUGUAAUAUACUGUAAGGGAUCAUUUGGUUUGUGAACAGGUUUGUACUGGGGUCAUAAUCAACAACAGCAACAUACCAAGUGUAUUCCCACAUAGUGGGGUCUAGGGAGGGUAGAGUGUACGCAGAUCGUACCACUACCUGAGGUGAAGUAGAGAGGCUAUUUCCGAUAGACCCCCGACUUACGACCGAUAACAGUAUAGCAAUCACAAAACAUAAACGCGUAUAGACUAGUACAGUAUGCAAAAUAAACUAACACUGCUAUCCACAAAAUAAUACUACAACCACCAGUCAGUACUAAAAACUAUCUAUUCGAAAUCAUAGACAUCACUCAACACCACGAACAAGAAACUUCAAACACAAAUAAAGAACGCUCUCUACUGUAACCGACACACUCCCACCCCCUAACCCUCUAUCCUAAUCCGCGUCUUCCACACUUUUCUAUCAAGGAUCAUGUCCUCUGUAAGCUGUAACUGCUCUAUAUCAUGCCUAAUCACCUCCCUCCAAUAUUUCUUCGGCCUAACUCUACCCUGCCUAAAACCAUCCGUAGCCAGUGUGUCACACCUCCGCACUGGAGCAUCAAAGCCCCUUCUUAUCACGUGACUGAACCAACGUAACCACACUUCUCACAUUUUGUCCUCCACCGAAGCUACCCCCACCUUCUCCCGAAUAAUCUCAUUCCUCACCCCAUCUUUACUGGUAUGGCCACACAUCCAUCACAACAUUCUUAUCUCUGCCACCUUCAACUUUUGGAUGUGGGAGUUCUUAACUGGCCGACACUACGCACUAUACAACAUAGCCGGUCGAACUGCCACUCUGUAGAACUUACCUUUAAACUUCGAUGUGACCUUCUUAUCACAUAAAAAUCCCGAAGCGUGCCUCCAUUUCAACCACCUUGCCCCAAUACGAUGCGUGACAUCCUCGUCAAUCUCACCAUUGCCCUGAAUCAUAGAUCCUAGAUACUUGAAACUCUCCCUCUUCGGAAUGGCCUGAGAGUCCAUCUUCACAACCACGUCAGCCUCCUGCGACACAUCACUAAACUUACACUCUAAGAACUUCGUCUUGGUCCUGCUCAACUGAAAUCCUUUAGACUCAAGGGUCUGUCUCCAAAUCUUCAACUUAUCAUUAACUCCUCUCCGAGUCUCGUCAAUCAGUACCACAUCAUCAACAAAUAACAUACACCAAGGAACCUCCCCUUGAAUAUAUCGUGUCAAAAUAUCUAUCACCAAGACAAAUAAAAAAGGGCUAAGAGUCGAUCCCUGGUGCAAACCUAUCAAAACCGUGAAGUGCUCCAAAUCACCACCCACUAUCCUCACACGAGUCUUUGCGCCAUCAUAUAUGUCCUGAAUCGACCUGGUGUACGUCAUGGGCACCUCUCUAGCCUCCAAACACCAACACAGAAUCUCUCUGGGAACUCUGUCACAUGCUUUCUCAAGAUCAAUAAAUACCAUGUGCAAGUCCUUCCUCUCUCGAAACUGCUCCACUAAUCUCCUCACAAGGUGAAUGGCCUCCGUAAUCGAGUGACCUGACAUGAAACCGAACUGAUUCUCCGAGAUAGUCACGAUCCUUCUCAGCCUCAACUCUACUACCCUUUCCCAAACCUUCAUAGUAUGACUCAACAACUUGAUACCUCUAUAAUUGUUGCAACUCCGGAUGUCUCCCUUGUUCUUAUACAAUGGUAUCAUCGUACUCCACCUCUACGCUUGAGGCAUCUUCGCCGCCCUAAAAAGAUGUUAAACAACCGUGUCAACACUCCAAACCUGCCCCGCUAGUGCUAUUCCAAAAAUCCACCGGAAUCCCGUCUGGUCUCGUUGCCCUACCCCGACGCAUCCUACGAAUAGCCCCCUUGACCUCCUCAACCUUGAUGCGCCUGCUAUAACUAUAAUCGCGACACUUCUCAGAUAUCUCCAAGUCCCCCAACACAAAACCUUUGUCCCCCUCGUCGUUCAAAAGUUUAUUAAAAUAGGACUGCCACCUUUCCUAAUGAGGGCAUCCUCAACCAACACUGUACCAUCCUCUCUCUUAUAGUCUCUACAAAUCGCUCUAUCACCCUUUCAAAGGAGCAAAAAGUCUAUCUGGGUCUUGGCCACCGAACUACGAAAGGUAAUAAGAUGUUCCUCCCUCUUCGGGAUUCACCCCCCACAACCCAAAAUCCCUAGCAAAAUUCAAAAGAGAAACUCCUCCAUUUCGAUCCCCGAAACCGAAACCGCCAUGCACUACUGGGGUCAUAAUUUGGAGAUUAAAUAUCGACGAGAUUAUUUAGUGAAUAUAGUUUUAUUGGUAGAUGUUUGGUUUAUUAUAUUAAAAAUGGGAUAUUGUACCUAUAAUAUUAAACAUGUGGUUGGCUGGUUUUAUACUAGAUAAACUUGGUAAACUUUUAUUUUUAAUUUUAAUUUUGGCCUUUUAAAGGACUUUGGGAGAAGAGUUUUUGAGAAGGGCAUAUUUUCCAUAUUGUUGUUUUAUCCCUGGGUCAGUCAUCCUAGGAUUGUUAUCUUGCAUUGAGCAUGGUAUGAAAAUAAUACCACAAUUGUGGUAUAGAUAAUUCCGGAAUUGCUUAUACUAGAAUUAAAAAUUCAACCAAGUGCGGGAUAUAAUAUUAAUAAUCCCAUACCAUGAGGCAUGAGAUGUUAGGUUCAAAUCCUACCAGAGACAAAAACACUAGGUAAUUUCUUCCCCGUUUGUCACACCCUGGGUAGACGGAGUUACCUGGUACUGUGGUGGGUGGGAGGUGGCAUGUACCUUGAGGAAUUAGUAGAGGUGCGCGAAAGCUGGGCUGGACACCACGGUUAUCAAAAAAGAAAUCAAAAGAAAAUAAUAAUCUCAUAUUGUAUCCUGGGAUUAUUAUGCCAUCCUUGUAACAGUGCGGUCCCUAAUAGAAUAGUUUUGCCAGAUAUGAUUAUUGUCUAUUGCUGCUGUUUUCAAGGGAAUCCAUGGGUGUCAUGUGCUUACAUUCUUUUCCAGGAAGUACUUGGUUGGCUAGUUGUUCUGCAGGAUUCAGCACACUUGUGCCUUCACUGAACAGUUGCAGUGAGGUGCAGUGACCAACCUGCUCUUCUCCUCUAUUAAGUGUGCCUUUUUGACAUUACUGAUUGUGACUGACUGACAAUGAUCCCGUGAAAUUGUAUCUGGUAAUUCAGGAGGUUCCAUGUAUUUGCACAGCCAAAUGUUCUUUAGCAGAAACCCUUGGUCGUCCGAUGGAGCAUAAAUGAGAUAUGUCCCUUCCAUACUAAUAUUUCAAAGGGCUUUUGACCCUCCAUCUUGUGUGAAGGAGAACAUGCUAUAGCUUAAGGAAGUUUGUAGUGAUCAACAAUCUGAAUUUUGGGGUUGAGUUGAAGUAUCCCCUGCAUGAAGUUCCCCUGACCUGAUGGAAUUCUGGUUCCAAUUUACCGGAGGUUGACUUAGUCAUGCUAAACUUUGAUUGAUUCAAAAUCAUAUUAGCUGUAGGUCGUAUAUUUUUUGCAGAAAUAUACAGUUAGUGUUUCCAACUAUUGUAGGUUGCUUUUGAUUAGGUACUGCCUGUUAAUACUUUAUACAACAAAGAGGAUCUUACCAAAUAAACAGAGGGUAAAGAAAACCAUAUGCUCCAGUCUACAUUUCUCUGCUCGCGUCAAUAGAUCAAUGAGAUGUUGCUCAUCUUGUUCAUCAGGAGAUAUAAAUACCCCUGUUCUGAUCUAUGGCCUUUUUGUUAAUAGAUCUUCUCUUUUUGUUUUUCAUUUUUUUGAUAAAUUGAUUUUUAUUUUUAUUUCUUGUUGCUUGCCUGAUUUUUUUGUUCGUUCUCCCGUCUUCCAAAAUUGGUCUGUGAAAGAAUUCCUAUUAUAUAUGUCCAAUGGACCACAAUCGUUAAUGUGUUAAAUCUAGAUUUAUUUCUGGCAAGACCAUAACUGCAUAAGCAUGAAUAAUUUUCAAGCUAAAUGCAAUCAUUUUGUAAAAGGCUUGGCAUCUUGGUCCAUGUAGGAGGUGUAAUCAGUUGACCUAAGCCGAGCUUCAAAGGGGUUUGACUUUUGUUCGAGUAGCAGACGAGCCUAUGGAUGCUCGAAGUUGACUUGGUUGAAGACACUCUGCCCUUGGAACUUGGCUAGGCUUGUGUACAAACUGAGCUGAGCAUAAACUGAUACCCCAGCAUGCCAAAGAACCAAUAUCACAUGAAAUAUUGGUGUAAAGAUAAUAACGGCUUGACUGACAUUUUUCUGGAUUUGCUAUGAAUAGCCAAACCCAAAGAUAGAGAGAUAGAUAGAUAGAGAGAGAGAGAGCACAGGAGAAUUGGCGUAAACAAUUAAAAAACAAAGGAAUCUUGUGGCUGCCGGCUGGUGUUACUGCUAUGGCUGUCAAUGAGGGGCUUUAGAAGCUGAUGGUAGUAUUGUGAGAAGAGGGCAAAGAAGCUGAACAGAAUAAAAUUUGUGGAGGAGGACUCAAAAGGGAAGGGGAAUGAUUAGAUAAAAGACAACAAGAAUGAUGAGGUCGUUGAUAGGAAAAGAUUAAUGAUUCUGUUGGAGAUUGGGAUAGAAGGUGUAACUUGCGAGGGAGUAAUUGCACUUAUGCAGUGCAUUUGGUACCCAAAACCCUAGAUGUCAUUUUCAUUUAGACCUAGAAGUAAAAAGGUAGUUGGUAAAAGUUAACAGUCUUGGUCUCGCUUCUUCAAGCCUGCUUAUCCAACAAUCAAGCUCAAUAGGGAGCUCAAGUUUAUGACUUGGUCUAAUAAGACUAGUACUUGAGCUAAAGGGAGCCAACUGCCAAACUGAGCUUUUUCAGCAAAUAGCUUGGCUAAUGCACAACUGUAGUUAGCAUGUUAAGAUUUAGUGGUUUAUUCUUGAAUGGUUCCUUUAUUCCUAGCUUGGUUGUGUUUGCUUGUUAGUCGAUCCUUGAUUCCAGCAAGCAACUUCAAGCUUCUCUUCCCCCUUUUUUUCUGUUGCUGUUUCAGCUUUUUAAGUUUCUUCUAUGUGCUUAGCUUUACAUGUGGAUGUCAUCAACUUAAUGACAGUUUUUCUGUGUGAUCUGCGGUAGACCGAUCUCUCUUUUUGACAGUCAUGUAAAAAGAGAAACUGUAUCUGUUUUUUAAUUACUUAGUUCAGUCAACCAUUUAUAGGUGGACUUUUACUGACAUCUUUUACCGGAAGCUGCAUUUGAAGAUUCUGAAGACUCGUGGCAAAGAAACUAAAAGUUAUGUACUGCAUGCACUCUAGCUGUAGAAGCAGUUGUCAAUAUCACAAAAUACCAAAAAGCUUCUAUGCUUCUUACAAGUUAGAUGCGUCCAUACUCCAUAGAAUUUUCUGUCUGCAGUCUCUCUUAUAGCAUGGCGAUUUCUGCUGGAU
rnacentral:lncRNA from 1 species